rnacentral:piRNA from 1 species
GCACUGGAUCAGCUGCCUGCAUAAUUAGCAAA